rnacentral:rRNA from 1 species
UACGAAGGGGGCUAGCGUUGUUCGGAAUACUGGGCGUAAAGCGCACGUAGGCGGAUCGAUCAGUCAGGGGUGAAAUCCCAGAGCUCAACUCUGGAACUGCCUUUGAUACUGUCGGUCUAGAGUAUGGAAGAGGUGAGUGGAAUUCCGAGUGUAGAGGUGAAAUUCGUAGAUAUUCGGAGGAACACCAGUGGCGAAGGCGGCUCACUGGUCCAUUACUGACGCUGAGGUGGCGAAAGCG